rnacentral:rRNA from 1 species
UCGAACGGGAUUUAGUAGACAGAAGCUUCGGUGGAAGAUUACUAAUGAGAGCGGUGAACGGGUGAGUAACGCGUGAGCAACCUGCCUAUGACAGUGGGAUAGCCUCGGGAAACCGGGAUUAAUACCGCAUAAAAUCGUAGAAACACAUGUUUUAACGGUCAAAGAUUUAUCGGUCAUAGAUGGGCUCGCGUCUGAUUAGCUAGUUGGUGAGAUAACAGCCCACCAAGGCGACGAUCAGUAGCCGGUCUGAGAGGAUGAACGGCCACAUUGGAACUGAGACACGGUCCAAACUCCUACGGGAGGCAGCAGUGGGGAAUAUUGCACAAUGGGGGAAACCCUGAUGCAGCGACGCCGCGUGAACGAAGAAGGUAUUCGUAUCGUAAAGUUCUGUCCUAUGGGAAGAUAAUGACAGUACCAUAGAAGAAAGCUCCGGCUAAAUACGUGCCAGCAGCCGCGGUAAUACGUAUGGAGCGAGCGUUGUCCGGAAUUAUUGGGCGUAAAGGGUACGCAGGCGGUUUAAUAAGUCGAAUGUUAAAGAUCGGGGCUCAACCCCGUAAAGCAUUGGAAACUGAUAAACUUGAGUAGUGGAGAGGAAAGUGGAAUUCCUAGUGUAGUGGUGAAAUACGUAGAUAUUAGGAGGAAUACCAGUAGCGAAGGCGACUUUCUGGACACAAACUGACGCU